GGUAGCUUGGCUGAGAGGCCCAAGGCAGCGGCUUGCUAAGCCGUCCACUCGCAAGGGUGCGUAGGUUCGAAUCCUACAGCUACCGCCA
rnacentral:tRNA from 2 species